ACAGCCCUGUGGAGCGGUUACCAAACACCUCCGUCUACGUUCCGUCGCUUCGAAAUUCCGCGCGGCGCACGUGGGCAGACGAGAACUCCUCUCCAGUAUCAUUCGGAGCCGAAUCGUCCUCCCUUCCCAAAUCCGUCGUAGCGAUCCCUUCCUUAUCGCCAUGGCCGUCGUCGGCAGUUUGAGCGCCGAGCAACUCCGCUCCUUCGAAUCCGACGGGUUUCUGGUGCUUGAAUCGUUCUCGAGCGAGGAGGAGGUGAAAGAGAUGAGGGAUCGCAUGGCGGAGCUCCUGGACGGCUUCGACGGCGCCUCCUCCAGCGUCUUCUCCACCAAAGAUCAUAAACAGUUGAAGGAUGAUUACUUCUUGGAUAGUGCAGAAAAUAUCUCGUUCUUCUUCGAAGAAAAAGCAUUUGGAGAAGAUGGAUGCUUGAAACAGCCCAAGGAACUCUCAAUUAAUAAAGUUGGCCAUGCUUUAAGUGAAUUGGAUCCAGUGUUCAGAAAGUUCUCCUUCUCAGGGAAAGUCUGUAGCAUGCUUUUCUCAUUAGGUUACAAGAGACCCGUGGUUAUUCAAUCGAUGUACAUAUUUAAGGAAAACUGCAAAUCAGAGAUGGUAAGCAUAUUGCAGGUUGAAGUGAAGCAACCGGGCAUUGGUGGAGAGGUAGUACCACACCAGGACAAUUCGUUUUUGUACACUGAGCCUCCCUCAUGCACAGGAUUGUGGCUAGCACUGGAAGAUGCAACAAUAACUAAUGGUUGCCUGUGGGCAAUACCAGGAUCUCACAAGAAUGGACUCAAGAGGCGUCUUAUUAGAGGUGAAAAUGGGGUUCACUUUGACCGUCCUUCACUAUCCUAUGAUCAGAAGGAUUUCGUGCCGCUAGAAGUGAAAUCUGGGUCUUUAGUGGUUAUACAUGGCAACCUCGUGCAUCAAAGUUUCGAAAACCAGUCUCCGAAAUCUAGACAUGCCUUGAGCUUGCAUGUGGUAGAUACUGAUGGAUUCAAGUGGGUCGGCGACAAUUGGAUCAGAAGGAAAGUAGCACUAGAGCCCCUCUAUGUAUAUUGAUUCCAGCAAAUAUGGCGGCUGAGAUUCUCUAUGUUCUCUCGGCAUUUGUAUUUGAUGCCAAAAUAACGUAACAUCCACAAGAAACUGAAUCUGGAAAGGGCAAUAAGCACAACUCUAUUUUAGAUUUGGUACCAAAAUAAGCAACACCCACAAGAAAUGUAAUCUGGUACAUUAGGCCUAAGAUUUAAAGUGCCGUGGCACGGGAGCGUACCGCUAUCUGUCUGGCACGGUAAGGCGUUGGCACGCUUGCGUAUCGAUACAUGGUAUGCUUGUGUGUCGAUGGAUACGUAUGACCUCCUACUGACACGCUUUGGUACAGACUUAUUUUAAUUUUUUUGGUUUCAAUAAGCUCUUGUAAUGUUAUUUUGAAAGAUUUAAUCAAACAAUUAUGAAUA